GCCAUCAUAGCUCAGUGGCAGAGCACUGGUCUUGUAAACCAGGGGUCGUGAGUUCUUACGAACCUCACUGGUGGCU